rnacentral:misc_RNA from 1 species
UAACGUCGAUGAUGCGCGCGCCGAUUUCGACAAGGACCUCACCUGUCACUGUUGUCACUAUGUCGUCUCUUACUUCGCUACUGGACGUAUUUAAGAGCUUUACCGACUACGUGAUUGUACACCAUGGCAGAUUUGAGCUAUAUGAGGCUGGAGAAAUUUCGUCUGUGGACUGUCACAUCGUUGAAAGCAUUCCUUUCGUUGCGGAAAAAUUCGGUCGAGGGCAACUAUGAGGAGGAACUUGUAGCUAGUUUGGUGUGUGGUGAUGUCAAAGGACAAUUUUCAGUUCUAUUCAAGCGUGUGAAUAGCCUGCAGAAGAAAGGAGGAAAAUUUGAGGUGUUGAUGUGUGUUGGAGACUUCUUUGGUUCAAAUCAUGCUGCAUGGGAAGAUUACACUUCAGGAAGAUUGAAAGUUCCAAUAUCAACACUUAUACUUGGCCCAAACAAGAAGGAACAUGUGCAGUAUUAUGAGAGCAAAGAUGGUCAAGAGAUGUGCGAAAAUGUUACCUAUCUUGGGAGCCGAGGUCGUUAUGCGGGUAGUUCCGGACUACAGAUAGCAUAUCUGAGUGGAAUGGAAGCCCAACAACAGACACAAGAUGCCUGGCAGUUCACCAAAGAUGACAUCUUAACCCUCACUGGGCCUGUGGCAUCAGACAAUAACUACAGAGGAAUUGAUGUCCUUCUCACUUCACAGUGGCCUCAAAGCGUACAGAAAUAUGCUACUCCAUCCCAGAUGGAAGCCACAUGUACUUCACUUUUGGUGGGAGAAGUUGCUCGACUUCUGCAACCCAGGUAUCACUUCUCUGGCCUGAAUGGAAUCUUUUAUGAGAGGCAACCAUACAGGAAUCAUCAAAUCUUUGCUGAGAGUGGCAUACAUGUGACCAGAUUUAUUGGACUUGCAGCUGUAGGCAAUUUGAACAAAGAUAAGUUUCUUUAUGCAUUCUCAAUCAAGCCCCUGUCCCACAUUACAACUGAGGAACAAAGUAAACAGCCACUUGAUGCCACAGAAUCACCAUACAAACCACUUUCUACACCAGGAAGCAACCGGGAUGACCUGAGUCAGGGAACACAGUUUUUCUAUGACAUGCAUGGAGGAGACACUGUGAAGGCAGGAAAAAGACACAGUGAAAGUGGUGGUAACGUCAACAAGAAGAGAAAACAAGUGCAACCACCUGGUCCAUGCUGGUUUUGUUUGGGAAGCCCCGAUGUAGAGAAACAUCUGGUGGUCAGUGUUGGAAUGCAGACUUACCUGGCUUUAGCUAAAGGUGGCCUGGUGGAGGACCAUGUGCUCAUUCUACCAAUUGAACAUGUCCAGUCCUAUGUCACAUCUCCAAGUGACGUUCAGCGAGAGAUUAUUUCCUAUAAGACAUGUUUGAAGAAGUACUUCAAGUCCAGAAACAAAGACGUUGUAUUCUAUGAGAGGAACUACAGGACACAACAUCUUCAGAUUCAGGUUGUUCCUGUGCCACAAGAUGUUGCUAUGGAUCUCAAGGAAUGUUUUUUGGAUAUGGCACAAAAUAUUUCCAUUGAGCUUCAUGAGAUACCUACACAUUCUGAUCUUUCCCAGGUUUAUCUUCCCCUGAAAGUUCAAGAGGAGAUCAAACUGAAACUGGAGCAUGAUGGAAACAGUAGAAAUCCAGAUGAUUUGUUGGAGCGUUAAACUACCAUUAUGGUUGAUGUUAUUUGAAAGGGGGCAUAUUGAAAUUGAAUUCACACUUGAUCCCACAAUCAAACCGAUUUUUGUCCCCCACCCAAGUUUGGCUGUGUAUACAGAAAGAAGGCUAUGGCAGUAAUCUAUCCUGGAAGGUAGAUUAAUACUAAUUUGAAUCGUCCAGGUUGAAUCACUUCAGAACUGCCAAUCACAAAUAUUAUUAGCAGACUUGUCAUCUCUUUUGUGUAUGGUCAAAUAUAUGUCAAACUUUGAUGUACUGUUAGCUUAUGACUUUUCUGAAUUGAAAUUGAAGAUGUUACCAGUUGUGUGGGUUUGAGUUAUUUGGACUCCCUAUUUCCGGCAAUGCCUAUAUGAUGUUUACAGAUUGUCCCAGCUGGAGCACCCUAUUUCUAUGCAGAGCUUCCAUGUGGUGCUAAACUCCUGCACAGGAUAUCAUCAAAGUUCCCUCUGCAGUUUGCAAGGGAAGCUCUAGCCCAGCCCGCAGUGUUGGACCUGCCACACAGAGUGGACUG